CCCUCAGGCAAAGUUGGCUUUAGAUGAAUUUGGCUAUUUAUUUUAGGUAUUUUUAACAUAUAGCUCUUCAACGAUUUUCGGUACUUAUACAUCUUCGGAUUUCAAAUGUUUGGCUUUGAGCGUUCCUGAUGAAGGUAAAUCCAGAAAAGCGCUUCGGACGCAAUAAAUUAUUAAACGUGUUGUUUUAUAUUUUUAAUAUAU
rnacentral:lncRNA from 1 species